rnacentral:rRNA from 1 species
CAUUCCGAACGGCGGAUCACUUGGCUCGUAGGUCGUUGAAGAACGACGUGACACUCGAGAAUUGAUGUGAAUUGCAGACACACUGAACUUGAAUACUUUGAACGCACAUUGC